GUGGCUGCUCUAAAUAAAGCUCUGGAGGCGUGCGCAGAGAUUGCGUCGUUCAAAAAGAAAUUGAGCUCUCUCCUCUGAUGGCCGAAGAUGGGCUCAUGUUCUGGCUGAGGUUCAUGUUCUUCAAAUACACUGUUGAAAAU
rnacentral:lncRNA from 1 species